GAUGAACGCUGGCGGCGUGCUUAACACAUGCCAGUCGAACGGAAAGGCCCAAGCUUGCUUGGGUACUCGAGUGGCGAACGGGUGAGUAACACGUGGGUGAUCUGCCCUGCACUUCGGGAUAAGCCUGGGAAACUGGGUCUAAUACCGGAUAGGACGAUGGUUUGGAUGCCAUUGUGGAAAGUUUUUUCGGUGUGGGAUGAGCUCGCGGCCUAUCAGCUUGUUGGUGGGGUAAUGGCCUACCAAGGCGUCGACGGGUAGCCGGCCUGAGAGGGUGUACGGCCACAUUGGGACUGAGAUACGGCCCAGACUCCUACGGGAGGCAGCAGAGGGGAAUAUUGCACAAUGGGCGCAAGCCUGAUGCAGCGACGCCGCGUGGGGGAUGACGGCCUUCGGGUUGUAAACUCCUUUCGCUAGGGACGAAGCGUUUUUGUGACGGUACCUGGAGAAGAAGCACCGGCUAACUACGUG
rnacentral:rRNA from 1 species